rnacentral:rRNA from 1 species
GACGAACCGUGCGAACGUUGUUCGGAAUCACUGGGCAUAAAGGGCGCGUAGGCGGCUUAUCAAGUCAGGGGUGAAAUCCGGCAGCUUAACUGUCGAAGUGCCCUUGAUACUGAUGAGCUCGAGGGAGAUAGGGGUGUGUGGAACUUCCGGUGGAGCGGUGAAAUGCGUUGAUAUCGGAAGGAACGCCGGUGGCGAAAGCGACACACUGGAUCUCUUCUGACGCUGAGGCGCGGAAAGCCAGGGAGGCAAACGGG